UUUCACCAUGUAACAGCACCGAGGAAACGUCGCAGUAGUGCUUUGCCUUCUUGUGCUAAGGACUCUGGAUUCCCCGCUCCUCGUGCUCGCGUUCUCCUUUCUCUGCGGUGGGCUAGGGGGUCGCAGUGCAGCGUUUGGGUGGCUCUGUGAUAUUAAACUCCGUAGAUAAAGUAGCAUAUUUAGAUUUUCAUCAUUUUUAUCUGAAGCUAAGAUGAAAGUGAGACUGGUAAUGACUUUUUCGUGGAUGGUGAUAGCACUUGCUUCGGCAUCUGACGGUGUCACUGAAAAGCGUCGGGUUCCGAGAGUAGUCGUCCGUCCUGGCCCCAGCCUGCCCCAGCCUUCUCACUCUCCGCCUCAAAUUUCAACGAGAAUUAUUGGUGGAGUAAACGCUCAAUCCGGCUCCGUAGCAGUUCUCAACAGGCCUGGUCCGACUAGUGUAGGGGUCCGAACCCCCCCAAUCAUUAGAGCCGGGUCUGAAGUACCUACGCGGCGCUGUCUGAUUUAUAACGAGUUCAGAUUGUGCGUCAAGUACGUGUAGCGCCGUUAAGGUGCCAAUGGUUCCAGCAUGCCUUUACUGAACAAGAUGUUAAAGAAUGUCUAUAUAUGAAGUUCCCAGCAGAUGAUACAAGCUAGUGUACAUGGCUACUGCAGUUGUAUGAACAAAAAAUAUUCUUGGAAUAUUAAUGAACAGACCAGUACCUCUGUAACUCCAUAAUAAGGUAAAAGAAUUAGUAUGAUGUGAAAGAGAAAUUUACUUUAGCACUGAACGAAAACGAAAUUAGAAGUUCUUGAGAUAUGCCCAAACAAGGUUUUUAUGACAUGCUACCUCUAGAGUGUAUCAUACAUUAUGACAUGGUGACUAUGCGAAGGACGAUUGGAGUGUCUUGUAGUGAACUUACUAUACAUCUAGAGGUAAAGUCAUGUGAAAUGUAUGUAACACCUAUUUGUUGGAACUGCAAACUAGAAUGUAAGAGUAAAGAACACCUAGUCAUAUUUUUAAGAAAGUCACGGCAAAUAUUCAGGAAACCAAGGCUACACAUAUGUUUUUAAUGUGUACCUUUGUCGAUAAUUUUUCAUUUACUGUAUAAUGUGUAAUAUUUGUGAUAAUAAAACGAAGACUUGU